rnacentral:rRNA from 1 species
GGCUCAGGAUGAACGCUAGCUACAGGCUUAACACAUGCAAGUCGAGGGGCAGCAUGAUCGAAGCUUGCUUUGAUUGAUGGCGACCGGCGCACGGGUGAGUAACGCGUAUCCAACCUUCCCUAUAGUAGAGAAUAGCCCGGCGAAAGUCGGAUUAAUGCUCUAUGUUGUAUUUAGAAGACAUCUGAAGAAUACCAAAGGUUUACCGCUAUAGGAUGGGGAUGCGUCUGAUUAGGUAGUAGGCGGGGUAACGGCCCACCUAGCCGACGAUCAGUAGGGGUUCUGAGAGGAAGGUCCCCCACAUUGGAACUGAGACACGGUCCAAACUCCUACGGGAGGCAGCAGUGAGGAAUAUUGGUCAAUGGACGGAAGUCUGAACCAGCCAAAGUAGCGUGCAGGAUGACGGCCCUAUGGGUUGUAAACUGCUUUUAUAUAGGGAUAAAGUCGGGGACGUGUCCCCGUUUGUAGGUACUAUAUGAAUAAGGACCGGCUAAUUCCGUGCCAGCCGCCGC